UUGCAACUCCGGGCGGCGCACGGGUCCUACCUUGGCUGAAGAGGAAGAAGCAGACGAAGAGCAGGUCGAGCUGGAAAGGUCUCAUUCCUCCGCGCGCCGAGGGGAAGCCGGCGGGGCAACUUGGGUUCGCGAAGAGUGAGCUGGAACACACCACUUGUAAUAAUAGCCAACCAAUUGGCUGUCUUCUCCUGGUCUUGCCGGCCUCUUCAAAAGAUGUUAAGAGCCCCCAGGAACGAUGUCCAGGUUUUGUGUCUCUCAAACACCCACCUUGGACAAGGACUUCGACUACUUGUAUCUCUAUUGGAAAAUGCCCAAGAUGCCUACAUCUUUGACUUGUGAAAAAUAGGCUUUCCUUUUGGGCUCUCAAAACAGUUUGGAGAUUCUUAUAUUAGCGUUUGGAGGCCUGAGUCUUUGCAUUUAACUAGAGGAAUUCUAGACUUCUUAAUUCUAAGCUGUAUUACUCUAGCAACUACAGUGAAGCAAGGAGAUGGUCUGAAAGUACCUACUCUGGACUGGACAGCUCCUAUCCUCAUCAUCUUUAUCCUUUAUGUUUGCGAGUGUCUUGGUUUAGCUGGAAAAAAAAUGAUCUGAAUGAAAAUUCAAUCAAUGUAAACCUGUUCUUGUGCAAAGGGAUUAUGAAACAACCAGGAACCGCUGCAGAAAUGUGAUUUACUUGAUUUGUGAAAAGAGGGGUUUACUGAGAUCAAAGGUCAGAGAUCAGAGUUUUUUAAAAAAUAUUUACUUAUUUGGCUAAACCAGGUCUAAGUUGUGGGAUCUUUAGUUGUCGCAUGCAGGGUCUUUCUUAGUUGCAACAUAUGGGAUCUAGUUCCCUGGCCAGGGAUGAAACCUGGACCCCCUGCACUGGAAGCCUGGAGUCUUAGCCACUGGACUACUGGGGAAGUCCCCUAGAGAUCAAAAUUUAAAGCUAAAUCUAGGCAGAAUGGGUAGGGCUGGUAGAAGUGGGGGUACAUGUGGCAAUCAGGUUGGGAAAAAUGGGAUGUUUGAUGGUAAAUGAGGGUUCCAUAGUUUUGGUAUGGAAUCCAGGGAAAUGAAUUUGCAUCCGUGUUGGAAUUACCUAGAAAACCUGAGGCCCCAGUGGAAAGCCCUGGCAUUCUUCCUGCAGGAGCUAAUGGGUCUGAUGUGAAAUGAGUGGUAACAAGAAAUCAGAUUUCUGCAUUUACACUCUAAUCUAGAUUUAGUUGCCAAGUUCUAAAAUACACAUGUGUAUUCAUCUGUUAGGGCUGCCAUAACAUAGAGGCACAGACUGGGUGGCUUAAACAACAGACAUUAAUCUCCUCAGAGUUCUGGAGGCUCUGAGCCCAAGAUCAAGGUAUCAGUAGGGCUGGUUUCUUCUGAGGCCUCUCCUUGGCUUGUACACGGCCACGUUCUCACUCUGUCUUCUCAUUGUCUCUCUAUGCUUGUCUGUGUCCUGUUCUCUUCUUGUAGGACACGAGUCAGAGUAGAGCCACCCUAGAGACCCCAUGGACUGCCGCACGCCAGGCCUCCCUGUCCUUCACCACCACCCAGAGCUUGUCCAAGUUCAUGUCCAUUGAAUUUGAGCAUGCACCCUGGAGACCCAAUGUAACUUCAAUUUCCUCUUGAAAGAGGCUUCCCAGGUGGCUCAUCCAUAAAGAAUUGGCCUGCUAGCUUCCCUGGUGGGUCAGUGGGUAAAGAAUCUGCCUGCCAAUGCGGGAGUCACAGGUUCUAUCCCUGGCCCGGGAAG